rnacentral:rRNA from 1 species
GUAGGUGGCAAGCGUUGUCCGGGAAUUAUUGGGGCGUAAAGCGCGCGCAGGCGGUCCUUUAAGGUCUGAUGUGAAAGCCCACGGGCUCAACCGUGGAGGGUCAUUGGAAACUGGGGGACUUGAGUACAGAAGAGGAAAGCGGAAUUCCAAGUGUAGCGGUGAAAUGCGUAGAGAUUUGGAGGAGCACCAGUGGCGAAGGCGGCUUUCUGGUCUGUAACUGACGCUGAGGCGCGAAAGCGUGGGGAGCAAACAGGAUUAGAUACCCUGGUAGUCCACGCCGUAAACGAUGAGUGCUAAGUGUUAGGGGGUUUCCGCCCCUUAGUGCUGCAGCUAACGCAUUAAGCACUCCGCCUGGGGAGUACGGCCGCAAAGGCUGA